AUAUUUUUCAUGGACGGCGUCGUGGAUUCGGCGUGAUCAAGGCGGUUCGUGGAUUCGGAUCGUGCGCUCGUGGAUUCGAGUAGCAUUCGUGGAUUCGGACGUGUGCGAGGUGUUUGUGGAUUCGAACGUGAAGGCGUGGACAACUUGGAGGAUUGCGCGAGAUUCAUAGAAGGUUAAGAGAGGUUGAGUCUGUGGAGUCGGUAAUCACCUUGUAAUCUUUUCUCUUAGUGAAUUAUUUUUUUCGCAUGUUGGUCUCGUAGGUUUUUCUCCAAGUUGGAGUUUCUCACGUAAAUCUCAGUGUGAUUUUAUUUUUCGCAUUUAAUUUUUAUCGCAUUGAGAUUUGAGAUUUUUGGCUUUUACACCUAUUCACCCCCCUCUAGGUGUUUGAUACAAUCUAGAUAAAUCAUUGGGCUCCUUAAAACUUACAUAUUUUACUUUUUUUACAUUUUCUAUGCUUUAAUAUAUUAUCCC
rnacentral:lncRNA from 1 species